rnacentral:rRNA from 1 species
CCUACGUGUGACAGCAGUGGGGGAUAUUGCACAAUGGGGGGAACCCUGAUGCAGCGACGCCGCGUGGGUGAAGAAGCGCCUCGGCGCGUAAAGCCCUGUCAGCAGGGAAGAAAAUGACGGUACCUGAAGAAGAAGCCCCGGCUAACUACGUGCCAGCAGCCGCGGUAAUACGUAGGGGGCAAGCGUUAUCCGGAUUUACUGGGUGUAACGGGGGCGCACACGGCGAUGCAAGCCAGGAGUGAACGCACGGGGCCCAACCCCGGGACUGCUCGUGGAACUGCGUGGCUGGAGUGCAGGCGGGGCAGGCGGAAUUCCUGGUGUAGCGGUGAAAUGCGUAGAUAUCAGGAGGAACACCGGUGGCGAAGGCGGCCUGCUGGACUGCAACUGACGUUGAGGCCCGAAAGCGUGGGGAGCAAACAGGAUUAGAUACCCUGGUAGUC